CCUACGGGAGGCAGCAGUGGGGAAUAUUGCACAAUGGGGGAAACCCUGAUGCAGCGAAGCCGCGUGAGUGAAGAAGUAUUUCGGUACGUAAAGCUCUAUCAGCAGGGAAGAAAAUGACGGUACCUGACUAAGACGCCCCGGCUAACUACGUGCCAGCAGCCGCGGUAAUACGUAGGGGGCAAGCGUUAUCCGGAUUUACUGGGUGUAAAGGGAGCGUAGACGGCAGCGCAAGUCUGGAGUGAAAUCCCAUGGCUUAACCAUGGAACUGCUUUGGAAACUGUGCAGCUAGAGUGCAGGAGAGGUAAGCGGAAUUCCUAGUGUAGCGGUGAAAUGCGUAGAUAUUAGGAGGAACACCAGUGGCGAAGGCGGCUUACUGGACUGUAACUGACGUUGAGGCUCGAAAGCGUGGGGAGCAAACAGGAUUAGAUACCCGGGUAGUC
rnacentral:rRNA from 1 species